CUUGAAGAGGGACAAAUGUGAACUGAUACAACUCAGAAGAGACUUCUCAAAAUUAGCAGUGUCAUAUGGUGCCAUAUUUGGAAGUCAUUAGGAAAGACUGUUGUCACUGAGAGGGAACUCUUCUAGCUGUGCAACUCUGUCAGCCAGAAGCAUAUUGAGGCCAAGCCUGGCAGUUCCAGCUACGCUUCUGGUGAAAGGCUUAGUCAAGUCAUUGUCUCCCUAUGGCUAUAUCAUAAUAGUGGGCUGAAGACCUGAAUCUGUCCAUUUCUUAAAAGGAAGGCAAGCCGACUCCAAACCUCCACCAAUGCCCAACAACUCUCUGAAGACACUCAAUACACCCUGUGCUCUUAAGUACAUCUCCUUUCA